AUUGAACGCUAGCGGGAUGCUUUACACAUGCAAGUCGAACGGAGUGGCAGACGGGUGAGUAAUAUAUCGGAAUGUGCCCAGUAGCGGGGGAUAACUACUCGAAAGAGUGGCUAAUACCGCAAAAUAUUGGAGAGGCCGAUAUCUGAUUAGCUAGUGGGGGGGGUAAAGGCUCACCAAGGCAACGAGCCGUAGCUGGUUUGAGAGGAUGACCAGCCACACUGGGACUGAGACACGGCCCAGACUCCGACGGGAGGCAGCAGUGGGGAAUAUUGGACAAUGGGGGAAACCCUGAUCCAGCCAGCCCGCGUGUAUGAUGAAGGCCUUCGGGUUGUAAAGUACUUUUAGCAGAGAAGCGGUAUCUGCAGAAUAAGCACCGGCUAACUACGUGCCAGCAGCCGCGGUAAUUC
rnacentral:rRNA from 1 species